rfam:Trichosporon asahii var. asahii CBS 8904 unplaced genomic scaffold scaffold00017, whole genome shotgun sequence.
GGCAAGAUGGCCGAGUGGUUUUAAGGCGAUCGCUUGCUACGUGUUAGAGAGCGGUUGGGUUCUCCCGCGUGAGUUCGAAUCUCACUCUUGUCG